AAGCAUAUCAAUAAGCGGAGGAAAAGAAACCAACAGGGAUUGCCUCAGUAACGGCGAGUGAAGCGGCAACAGCUCAAAUUUGAAAUCUGGCCCCAGGCCCGAGUUGUAAUUUGCAGAGGAUGCUUUUGGUGCGGUGCCUUCCAAGUUCCCUAGAACGGGACGCCAGAGAGGGUGAGAGCCCCGUACGGUUGGACACCAAGCCUUUGUAAAGCUCCUUCGACGAGUCGAGUAGUUUGGGAAUGCUGCUCAAAAUGGGAGGUAUAUUUCUUCUAAAGCUAAAUACCGGCCAGAGACCGAUAGCGCACAAGUAGAGUGAUCGAAAGAUGAAAAGCACUUUGAAAAGAGGGUUAAACAGCACGUGAAAUUGUUAAAAGGGAAGCGCUUGUGACCAGACUUGCGCCCGGUGAAUCACCCAGCUCUCGCGGCUGGGGCACUUUGCCGGCUCAGGCCAGCAUCAGCUCGCUGUCGGGGACAAAAGCUUCAGGAACGUAGCUCUCUUCGGGGAGUGUUAUAGCCUGUUGCAUAAUGCCCUUCGGCGGGCUGAGGUACGCGCUCCGCAAGGAUGCUGGCAUAAUGGUCAUCAGCGACCCGUCUUGAAACACGGACCAAGGAGUCAACCUUAUGUGCGAGUGUUCGGGUGUUAAACCCCUACGCGUAAUGAAAGUGAACGCAGGUGAGAGCUUCGGCGCAUCAUCGACCGAUCCUGAUGUUCUCGGAUGGAUUUGAGUAAGAGCAUAUAGGGUUGGACCCGAAAGAAGGUGAACUAUGCGUGUAUAGGGUGAAGCCAGAGGAAACUCUGGUGGAGGCUCGCAGCGGUUCUGACGUGCAAAUCGAUCGUCAAAUAUGCGCAUGGGGGCGAAAGACUAAUCGAACCUUCUAGUAGCUGGUUUCCGCCGAA
rnacentral:rRNA from 1 species